GAGCUGCUGAGCUGGAGAACUGAAUGGAUGAGGGUUGGAGAAACAAGUUUCCUGUAAAGGACCAGCUAUUUAAUUUUAUUCAUCCUGUAUCAAGUUUCUGCAUCUCACAGUUUGGGCACAACAGGAGGGAAGCUUGGCUGCUCUACCUGGAGCCAGUGGAACUGCUGGGAGAUGGACUCACUGACGAGAGGAGGACGAGACGAAGAUGUUUUGCCAACUGCCUUAGACUGCCUGGCACUUCUAGGCAGAUCACUUCAACUGGGG
rnacentral:lncRNA from 1 species